rnacentral:lncRNA from 1 species
GACAUACAAUGAUCUAUAUCAUUGUAUCAUUGAAGCUCUUUUCAAUGGGUCGAAACAAUUUAACUCUAACUCAAUCAAAGAUUGUUGAUCCAAAAUAACUCUAGUGAGCUCUCACAAUCCACCAGUAACACCUAACAGUAUAUAGUGGCAACCUAAUAAAAUUGAAAUGAACCUCUAAGUAUAGUUAAUAUAUGAUUCAAUCCCUCUAUCGUGAGUUCCAACUAGAAGGC